UUGCCGAAAGAAUGUACGGUGGAAACGUAAAAAAAAAAAAUAAUACCAACUUUGAACCCUUUCAAUCCCCAGAAAGUCCUAACCCCCAAAAAAUCAUUUCAGUGGGUCCUGCUCUGAUUCAUUACCUUUCAUUUGAGCUAUGUCCGGUGUCGAACUUUGCCGUACGGAGCUGGCGAGACUUGCCGAAAGAAUGUACGGUGGAAACGUAAAAAAAACAAUAAUACCAACUUUGAACCCCUUCAAUUCCCAGAAGGUCCUAACCCCCAAAAAAUCAUUUCAGUGGGUCCUGCUUUGAUUCAUUACCUUUCAUUUGAGCUAUGUCCGGUGUCGAUUUUUGCCGUAUGGAGCUGGCGAGACUUGACGAAAGAAUGUACGGUGGACACGUAAUAAAA